rnacentral:tRNA from 1 species
GGAGAGUUGGCAGAGUGGUCGAUUGCGCUUCCUUGCUAAGGAAGUGUACCUUUACCGGUACCGAGGGUUCGAAUCCCUCACUCUCCG